rnacentral:antisense_RNA from 1 species
UGUAAGUGAGUUUUUAGUAAGAAGUAAGAUUAGGAGGCACUUUGCUUAUAGCGGAUGUAAUAAAUAGUAAGGUAAAAGAGAUGCGGGUUAGUUUAACUGAAGAUUAACUGACAAGAAAUGGUGCGUCCGAGUGGACUCGAACCACCGACCCCCACCA